CCCCUCUCAGGGUCACACCUGGAGAGUUUCCAGUCCUCUACCAGUCUCGAUUAUGGGAGGGAGAGUCAAGCAGAGUCCAUUCCAUUCCUAGCUUGGCCAGUGGCUAGCAAGUGGAAGGCAAUCUGCUACAGGU